AACGAACGCUGGCGGCAGGCCUAACACAUGCAAGUCGAGCGCCCUUUCGGGGGAGCGGCGGACGGGUGAGUAACGCGUGGGAAUAUGCCCUUCUCUACGGAAUAGCCUCGGGAAACUGAGAGUAAUACCGUAUACGCCCUGUGGGGGAAAGUUUUAUCGGGGAAGGAUUAGCCCGCGUUGGAUUAGGUAGUUGGUGGGGUAAUGGCCUACCAAGCCGACGAUCCAUAGCUGGUUUGAGAGGAUGAUCAGCCAAACUGGGACUGAGACACGGCCCAGACUCCUACGGGAGGCAGAAGUGGGGAGUCUUAGACAAGGGGGGCAACCAUGAUCUAGCCAUGCCGCGUGAGUGAUGAAGGCCUUAGGGUUGUAAAGCUCUUUCAGCUGGGAAGAUAAUGACGGUACCAGCAGAAGAAGCCCCGGCUAACUCCGUG
rnacentral:rRNA from 1 species